UACGGGGGGGCAAGCGUUGUUCGGAAUUACUGGGCGUAAAGGGCUCGUAGGCGGCCAACUAAGUCAGACGUGAAAUCCUUCGGCUUAACCGGAGAGCUGCGUCUGAUACUGGAUGGCUUGAGUUUGGGAGAGGGAUGCGGAAUUCCAGGUGUAGCGGUGAAAUGCGUAGAUAUCUGGAGGAACACCGGUGCGAAGGCGGCAUCCUGGACCAACACUGACGCUGAGUGAGCGAAAGCCAGGGGAGCAAACGGG
rnacentral:rRNA from 1 species